rnacentral:snoRNA from 10 species
AAAAAGGAUGAAUUUUAUGAACACUAUUUCAUGUCAUUCAGUAGUAAAAUGCAUUUGAAACGUCAUUAAUCCAUCUUUAUGAAAGACCAAAACUUUGAAU